UGACGCCUAAUAAGGUCUACAAUGAACACAUCCACUACUUCCAGACUGAAAAACAGCCAGACUGUAAUGGGGGAACGAAAGACGGAAACUAUAAAUUGAAGUACUGAACAGGAACAAAACUGAUGACAUCACACAGCAGCCAGUUCUGCUUUUUUCUUCUAUUGAACAACUUUUGGAUUCUCUGGCAAACAACAUUAGAUAAAAUGUGCUGGUAAACUUUACAGAGAAAGGAUUUCCUCCAUAGUCUUCUACAAUCUCAAGUGGAUCCAGGAUAAGAGAGUUGAGCUCUGUUAUGAUGUCAGGAUCUUUGCCUCCCUCUUGUGGUUCAGGCCACUAAUGCAUUUGACUAAAGCUUGAGCUGUAGCUCCUAUGCUC
ensembl:lncRNA